GAUUCUUUCGUAUUAUUCCAGACACGAAGCCACGCCAUCUGGGUUCUGCAUGGGUGAUACGCCAAGCCCCGGUGCUCACCUCCGUAUCCUCGUCCUCUGAGCCUACAGCACAUGACGAGACCCGCGCUCCGUUUUCUGCGAGCACACCCCGGGACGGUGACUGCAGCAGAAGGGUGAGGAAGGUGGCGGCGGUGGUCCUUUCCUGCCCCCUAACAGUGAGCCGGGUCAAGCAUUUGCACCUCCUCUCCAAGGCAAAGACCCUGUUACAAGAACAACAUGAGCACCAGAUGGGUACCUCAUCUCAGACCCCAUUUGGAACUAGCAAAGUUGGCUAAGUACCCACUAUAUGUAUGUAUGUAGCACUCCCUCCUGAUGGAUUGCCUCCUUUGACUUGCAUGGUAACUGAUAUACCCAUUGCUGGUAUGGUGUGGUCAGUGAGUAUCAAGGCUUCAGGAAUGGAAGGCAUGUGGUGGUGUAACAUCGGUCCUUAGAGGUAGCCAGUCUCUUCGGUACAUGCUUUUGAGUAGUACAGAGAGCAAAAGAUGUCAAAUGCAGUCAUAGAAUGAAUAAUAUGAAGAUUGAAGUUAUUUGGUUGUGUAACAAGGUUAAAUAUAGUUUGAAGUACAAGUUCUGUGAAAAGUUAAAUAGAAAGGUGUGUGAAGGGAUAUGAUUGAGGAGUACUUAAGAAGUUGGCAAGGUGGGAGACACCGCUGAUGACCAAUUAAAGGGUCUGAACAGGGAAAACAGACAUCUUCUCUUAUGGCCACACACACAAGUAGUAGUAUCUGGGUGGAAGAUUGUUUGUGCAAUUAUUAGACACAUGCAUGAUAAUUUUAGGCAUCAAGCACCAAAUUAUAUUAUAUCCAUGCUAUGUUAUUGAGGAAAUAGGUUGAGACAACACUCGGUAUUUUAAAAUUUAUUGGUAGAUUAAAGAAUGACAUCACUUGCCAAAAAAGAUCCACUGUGCUGGGUAGUUAUUAUAGGAUGGCUGUUUUGUGUACAUCAUGAGAUAACUUCAUCCUUUAUUACAGGCUGCAGGUGAAGGGAUGAUUCCUGCAACAAUGGGGAAAAGAAAGUUGCUGCCGUGUUGUGAGAAGAGGCAUGAAAGCAGCAUUUGUGUGUGCUGUUAUAUAGGUGGGUACAAUGUAGAAACUAGAAACAUUUAAAGUAAUGGUGUAAAAAGUGUUAAUAUAGUACCAGUGCUCCAAGGUCUUGAAUACAUAUAUUAUCCAUAAUCCUUGCCUAAUGAGGAGAAUGGUAGGGAUUCAGUGAUGCAAAACCAUUUGUUAAAGGUUUUAAAAAUAGUAGGACUGAUAAAGAUAGGAGAACGUCGGCAACUACUUCAGUCGAGUCCAAGGAUGAUUAUACCUUCACCAGGUUUCUAAGGAAAUAUGAGCAAAACAAGCAAAACGUUUAAGUGUAUGUAUAUAAAUAUAAGUCCAGUACACCUCCCGUAACCUCAACCAGACUUGGACAGGACACAGGGGACGCGGCAGCCCGAUCCGGCGGCUGAGAGUGGUUCCUCGGGUCAAGAGAAGACGGUUGAACCAGCAGAGAUGGACAGCUACCUUGAAGACGUCACUCGAUGGAGGGUUAUGGGCUCAGCAGAAUGGCAGCUGCAUGAGAACCCGAAGAUGGUGACGGGUGAGCCAGCGGGACGGACAGGCUGUGUCAGCCCAGCAUGGAAACUGGACGGAGGCACAGGCAGACAGCGCCCACUUGGCUGCAAGGCUCCAAUAGUGAGAGGGAGGCGUCAGAUGCUCAAAGGUCCUGGACAGCUCAGGGGUCAGCUCCACUCUGAUUCUUCUCCCUUGAUAACCCGCCUCGACGUCACGUGGAAUAAUGAGUGACGCCAGGGAGUGAAGCAGAGGAAGCCUCGAGACGGCGGACGAAUCAAGGCAGGGUUACGAAGCAUCAAUGCCACAGCUGCUGGUUGACUGGAAAACAAUCAAUAAAAGCACGAACCAUAUAACUAUCCAUGUGGGUGUUAGUUCAGCCCUCACAAUGUCUAAAUAUUAUUAUAUGGAAAUACAUAUUCCUGAGUUGCCACCAUGGUCUAGCUGUGCAGUGCAGCUUGUGAGCUCACAUUAGUGUGAAUGGUUGUUACAUGAUGAUUUUCCUGUAUAAAUUGGUAGAUGAAAUAACUACACAAAUGUAGUGUGAAUAUAACUAGACCUUGUUGUGCUAUAUUUCAGUUGGGUGCUGGGAAGGAAACUUUAUGCUUGGUCGUCAGCAUGGAGCUCACCCAGCUGUUGAUCCUUCCAUUUGUGAAGGUCAGUAAAUGGGGACCUGGGGAAUUAUAGUGUGGUAACCCAGAUGUUGUUAUGACCCUACAUCAGGUUAAUGGGUUCUCCCCCAGGGACAAUGGGAUGGAGAUGAGGGUUACCACCAUACACAGCUGUAGUGUAUGCUCCCAACUCUACCUUUUUACCUCCAGACACUUGGAAAACAGAUGCUUGUGGCCUUCAUGCUUAUCUCCGUUGCAUUGGCCCUUGAGCCUGUGGUGGGAAGUACCCUUACCAUGGGACACAGGGCCAGUGUGACAUCUAGGUUACCACAGUUUACCUUCCCCAGGUACAGUACCCAUUUAUUGACCAGUCCAAAAUGCUGGGUGGGCUCCAUGCUGAUGACCAAGCAUAAAGAGUUUCCUUCUUAGCACCCAACUAAAAUAUAGCACAACAAGGUCUAGUUAUAUUCACACUACAUUUGUGUAGUUAUUCCAUCUACCAGUUUAUACAAGAAAAUCAUCACGUGACAACCAUUCACACUAUUGUGAGCUCACAAGCUGCACUGCACAGCUAGACCACGGUGGCAACACAGGAAUAUGUAUUUCCAAAUAAUAAUAUUUAGACAUUGUGAGGGAUGAACUAACACCCACACAGCUCUUUUCCUGUAUUUCACAACCAGGGAUGUGUACCUUGGCACACUAGCCACUGCAUCCAAAAAGGUCUUACAAUAAUAAACCUCCAAGAAUAUUUGGCCCCAGUGAAGGCAGCAGUAGUCCUGGUCUUGAUGCUAAAAUGUUUCUUCUUUCAGGUGUGGUGCACUCCAGAGUCAGGCAGGUAUUGGCCCACCAAGAUGGAGAGAUAAAUUGGCUGUCAGGUGUACCUCAGCUGUAUGUCAGGAGUGGUGUUUGACAGAUCCUCAAAGCUGUCAGGGAAAGUUACUGUAUUACUGAUUAUUAACAUUCAUCAUAAAGGACUAGAGAAGUUUGAUUGACUUUCUGAUAAACAUCAGAAUGUGAAAAAAACUCACUGGCAUAUAAGAAAGGUGUAUAUUUACCAAACAGUUUUGGUGGACACUGCCACCAUCUUUACCACUGAAGAUGGGGGCAGCAAUGUCCACUGAAGCUUUGGCCUUACGGAAGGCCUCUCGAACUCACUCAGCAAGUGGGGCACCGCUGGCCGAUUUAUCAGAGUGGCGUCCCAUCUGGCCAGUCAUGAAUUUGAUCCCUGGUGCCAGAAACCCUUUCUGGGUCCGGAUUAAUCCGGAUUAAUUUCAUGUUUUCAUAACAUGCAGAAGUCAUGUGGAUGCUGUAGAAAGGAAUUCUGGCAAUACAAUGUAGUUUUGCCACCACAUUGUACUGCCAGAUUUCCUCUUUCCACAUCAUUCACACGACCUCUGCAUGUCACAAAACAUGUGAAAUUUAUCCAUACCCAGAAAGGCUUUCCAGCACUAGGGAUCAAACUCAUGACCAGCCAAUGGGAAGCCAUUUCUCUAACCAUUGGCCAAAGAGGUACCCCACUCGCUGAGGGAGUCUGGGAGGCUUUCUGUCAGAGGGGUUGCUACAUAAGGAUUGCAUUACUAAAUUCAGCAAACUUGUACUACUACUUUUGCCAUAUAACUGGAAAAAUUUUCAAAUAAAUUUACUGAAGAAUA